GGCACGGAGCUGCUGGCUCUCUAUAUCCAGCGGCUCAGAGGCGCUCUGACUCCAUUCACUUCAGAGUCCCACACAGCCAAGGACCCGUGCAGACUGCUGCAAGACAGGCUCUGGAUCGCACAACACGGACAACUUUCUCCCUAGUGAUUUGCUGAGAGGAUCUGCUUGUUUGGAUUAUAAUAUUUUAGGACUCUUAAAUACUGUCAUAGAGAAAACAGUCGUGCGUCUUAAUUCUGUAUAAUUCUAACAGCUGCGUUUCUUGUUUGAUAUUUCAGUAAACUGGGCUGAAGUUUGAAGCCUAUUUGUUAGAGGGUGAAGGACAAGUGCAAUGCGCGUCAGACUUGUAUCCUGGGAUUGUCCCAUUUGCGCCUGAGGAGCUAUGUCGAGCUGCCGCACAGCGCUUGUUCAAGAGGACGCAGUCCAAUGUGAAUAACAAGAGUCAACUUCCAGCCUCUUCAGCACAGUUACAAGCAGUGCAGCAAGGGAGAGUGACUAACCCCGCUGAGCAGCUCUGACACUCCGGUUUCUCUCCCCGAGGGGAUGGUUGUGGAUCCUGUGGGGCCAGGAGCGAUUCUGCGGCUCCUACAGAAUAGCACCUUUUUCUUGUUUGGGGUUAAAUCUAAAUUAAAGGGAGAUGAGAGCCGCACUUUGUUACUUCCUGCUGUGGACGACGUACCUGCUGCUGGCCACCUCUGAGGAAGUGGAGUUUCCCCAGGAGCUGUUAGACAGACUGUCCCACAGUGAAAUCCACAGCAUCAGCGACCUCCAGCGGCUGUUGGACAUUGACUCCGUAGGUACGGGAAACGAUGUUAUUGAGGAGCCCAAGCACCACAAGCACCACAACCACCAUAAGAACUACUCCAGAGGUCAUGGUUACUACAAUGACCUGAAGAACUCCCAGCUCCACAGCCGACGCAAGAGGAGCAUCGAGGAGGCGGUCCCUGCGGUGUGUAAGACGCGGACGGUGAUCUACGAGAUCCCCAGGAGCCAGGUGGAUCCCACGUCUGCCAACUUCCUGAUAUGGCCGCCCUGUGUGGAGGUGAAGCGCUGCACGGGCUGCUGUAACACAAGCAACAUGCGCUGCCACCCUUCCCGCAAGCAGCACCGCACCGUUAAGGUAGCAAAGGUGGAGUAUGUGAAGAGGAAGCCCAAGCUGAAAGAGGUCUUUGUGCGGUUAGAGGACCACCUGGAGUGUGUGUGCACGUCACAACAUCAUGUGGUGGAGCACUCAGAUGCAGAAACAGGCCACCGUAGGGCUAAAGGUAAAAAAAGGAAACCUAAAAAACUAAGGCCCAGCAAGGAUUUAUUGGCGACAUAAUAAAGUUUCACUCAUUACCCAAAGUCCACUGGAGAGCUGUGAAGGGAACAGUGGACGUGAGGUGAGACCAAUCAGAACAAGGGACUUCAGCGUGGGAGGGAUCUAAACAGAGGAUGCCACCAACAGGAGACCUGCUCUGUCCUCAUUCCCACUCCAAUGCAACCUUUGUUUAAAAAAACUAACUUUUCUGUAAAGAAGAGAGACUGACAAUAGACAACAUACAAAAAUAACUAAGAUGCCAAAGGUGCUUUUUUUUAAAAACAGUAACCAGUGAUAAUGACUUCCUCUGUGGUAUGCCACCUACCCAGACAACUGAACCCUGCCGCUGAUUAAGAAGAAAAGAGAAAGAAGCUGUAGAGCUCAGGCAAGGCAGAAAGAGGCCGAAGGGAGAUGAUGAAAGGGAUUCGUGUUGAACAUUUUUACAGACUUUGUUUGAACAAGAUGGACAACAGAAAUGGCUAUGAAACAGUUGGAUCACGAUUUCGUGGGAAUCUGGUGCUCAGACUCCAAAACAGCAGUGAAUGACCUCCAGCUGGGCAACAUAAAAGUGCCCUACCCUGUUUGAAUGACUUACAUACACAGGAAGAAAGAAAGAGAGAUAUAGGAAAAACAAUGGAAAGAGAGAGACAAAUGGAGGUGUUUUUUCCCCCCAAAAGACUCUCUAUGGAGUAUCAAACAUUUUGAGUUUUUAGAUGUUUGCUCUGAGUAAAAAGGAAAUCUUCUCUGAGACCCCUGGUGGUCUAUGACUUUGCCUACUUGCUAUGUACAGUUAAAUUAGAGAAGGAAGAUGCGCCGCUACUUACAAAACUAUUUAUACGUGUGGACGUUUGCUUUCUGUCUCUUCCAGUACAAAAGAAAGAACAAAAAAGAUGUUUUAAUGAUGAGACAUGCAAGAGUUCUGUGUGGUCCGGUUCUUUGUAACCAUCAGUAUCACAAUCUCAAUGUCAUUUUUUUAGUUGAUGUUAUUCUUGUCAUCCAUGUUUCUUAUUAUAUUACAGUAUAUCUGAAUGAUGUCAAGUCUUGUAUAUGGUUUGGAUAUAUAUGUGCAAGGAGGAGAUGUGAGAGUCAGUACAGGAAGAUGCUUUAUUUUUGUUAUGAAAUAUAUUAAGCUUACUUAUAUCCAAGCAGGAAUUAUGUUUAUUUCUUUUGUUGUGGUUGAAUGCCUGUAUUUAAUCCAUUGGAAAAGAUACAAAAAUGUGGGCAGGGGGUGGGAUAGAUGAGAGAGGGAGAAAAGACAGCCAGUGUUUGUUAGCUGUGUACAUCAGUGCGUCAGAGCUGUGAAGAGGGCGGAUAGAGUGACUCAAACAUGGCAACUUCAUAGUGAGUGGCCAUACUGUAGCUUAUUCUACAGCCAUGAUAAGCACUGCCCAAUACUUUAUAAAACAAGUGACAUUUCAUUCAAACAUGCAUACAGCACAUUAAAAUGUGUUCAUGCCAAUCACAUAAAAAAUGUUAGAGCACUCUACUGUGCAUGUAUGCCUGUAUGCGGCGGGAUAGACAGGGUGUGUGUGCGCUCGCACACGAUUUCUCUUCUACAUGAAGCUAUUUUUCACCCAUAUCACUCUAACAUUGAUAAGGAGGAUGACCGCCAGCUCUGCCUUACAAGCACACAUGUUGUGCCUGCAAAGAGCAAAGUCCACCUUAAAGAGUAAAUGAGCAAGCGAAGCAAAUCGACAAGUGCAUGAAUGGGCUCCUUGUUUAGCCAGGCUUUACUCAUUUGUUGACAGGUGAACAACGACAUGUGAAGGUACUCACACCUUAUGCAGCCACAUAGCCAUAUAUCAGGACAGAUGAUGAUGAGUGCUCUGAGGUGGCCUGAAAAUAGCACAGUGCUGGCCUGAACAAUUACUUCCCCACCAGUUCCUGUAACAGUAAUGAAUGUGUAACCAGGCCAACACAGUAGAAAAACAAAUGUGUUCAAAUGAGGAAGUUUGAUGGAUAUUUUUCAGUCAAACAGUCAAAGGCGAAGAGUCAGUCACUGCACUGUGAAGUGAGUCAAGAGAAAGUCAAAUGAGAAAAGUUUGAUUGAAACAUGGCUGUAUCAGCUACUGCUGAGUUGUGGACGUCAGAUCCAACACACAUACACACAGCCCACCUGUGAAUGAACUAACCAUCAGUUGACUGGUGCUAUAUUUAUAAAGCUGAUGUUUCAUUACUGUUCACAUUCACAUUUACAUCAAUGUAAGUUAGUGUUCUUAGUAAACCAGGGACCACGCUUAGAGCCAUUUGAUUAAAGAAAAUGCCAUUAUGCUAUCACUAAGCCUUUAUUACUUUUCUUUUGGGCUCCCAUUGGAUAAAGACAGCAAUAAUCAUAAUUUAUAUAUUUAUGUUUUCAACAAUAAAUAUAUUUCUGCUUAUGAAAAUGUUCA